UACGUAGGGACCAAGCGUUGUCCGGAAUCAUUGGGCGUAAAGAGCGUGUAGGCGGCCUGUUAAGUCUUGCGUGAAAUCUCGGGGGCUCAACCCCGAGCGGUCGUGAGAAACUGGCAGGCUAGAGUGCGGGAGAGGAGAGUGGAAUUCCGAGUGUAGAGGUGAAAUUCGUAGAUAUUCGGAAGAACACCAGUGGCGAAGGCGACUCACUGGCCCGUUACUGACGCUGAGGCGCGAAAAGCGUGGGGAGCAAACAGG
rnacentral:rRNA from 1 species